CGUUUCUUCUCUUCACCCAGUAUAAAUGCCUUCCGUUGUUUGAUUCGUUUAAUCCGAUUCCUUCCCUGGACGCUUCCCUUAUUUGGCCGACUUCUCGGUAUGGGUUCUCCAGGGACAUACUGAACCCAAGCAACAGGGCCGCGAGGUCUCAGGCUUGCUCUCUUCCUUCGAGACCUCAUUCCAGGCCUUGUCUUUGGGAGUCUAGUUUCAGUCAGGUACCUGAAAUCCGCACCGGCGAGGGUAGUAGUACAUAAUGCUCUCAAAGGAGAAAUGCAGUGUGGCUUGAAGAGAACAGUUGGCUGGAAUAUGCUAGGAGAAGUAG
rnacentral:misc_RNA from 1 species